rnacentral:pre_miRNA from 10 species
CGGCUCGCCCCAUCUGGAAGACUAGUGAUUUUGUUGUUGUUUCGCUGCACCCAACAACAAGUCCCAGUCUGCCUCAUGGUGCUGGCCA